AUCAGUGCUUGGUCACCCACACAGCCAAGUUCUUCCUCAUGUUCAGAUAAAAGCUGGAAGAAUUGGAGCCAUGGGAUGUGCACGUCCUUCCUGACCACGCAGCAGGAGAAAUUAGCAUCAUCAAUCAUUUGGUGUGCUUUGAGAUCCAAAAGGAGACACAUUCCCUUUGUUUUCUCCAUCUUGGAGAAAGUCUGGAUUACCUGAGCUCCUCAGAGCUCACUCAGGGAUGUACCUGAACAGAUGCAGUCCAGCAAUUAAUAAGAACCCAGCACUCCUGUGUGUGGAUAACAGGGAUAUCUUCCACUGGAUUACACAAAAUAAAAAUGAAACCCCUGCUACUUCAACAGCAGCUU